CUCUAACAACAGACAACUGAGCUCUCUUUCUCUCUCUUGCCUGCUGUGAUGUAAGACAUGUCUUUCGCCUUCUGCCAUGAUUGUGAGGCUUCCUCAGCCAUAUGGAACUGACACCUGAUGGAAUAAACUGCUGUGAGAGGGAGUAUUGAGAAACCUCCAGGAUCCUAUGAGUGAUGAUGGAGAACAUAUGGAGGGUAGAAAGAUGUGGCAUAUCACCUCACACCAUGUUCAUAAGAACCUUUUCAGCAGAAGAUUCUCAAAUAUGAAUUACAUGCUUUUCAGGAGCCAUUUCCUCAUCAUAAGGAUGCAGUAGCCAUAAUUAUUCCAAUCAUCCAAAAGAGAAGACUUUAAAGUACAGUAGUUAGCCAUCCAAAAGAGAAGGCUAAUAUCCAUUUAUGAGAGCAUUUUCCCAAGUGAAUUUUGACCAGACUGAGACAUACUACAAAGGACAGUUGCCAGAAACAACACCCAAAGAUACUUCUCCCCUGGACCUUGUUCCCAGGCUCUGUGCAAAGCUGCACACUCUGCAUGAUCUCCCUGCCACCACAGCAAGCUAUGAAGUUCAUUACACAUGCAGUCUUUGGCUACCAGUGAUCCUUUUUGCCUAUCCCUUGGGAGACUUGGGAAGGACAAAGAAGAGACAAGAAUCAGUGUAACAUUUAAACAACAGUGCAACUGUGCUGUGAGAGCCAUCUCAACGUGAUGUCCUAAGUAGCCAGUGUUUCCUUCGCAACAUGACAAUGGCAAACAAAGAUGUUUUCUGGAUGGCUGAAGCAAAUGUGAUUUUUAUGCUCAGGCCAUCCCUCUGCCCUUAAGCCCCUACCAUGGGUUAAAAUUUUUUUUUUUUCUUUUUUCUAUGAAUUUUCUACAUGGAGAUAGGUGAAGUGAGACAUUAUUUUCUUCUUCUGUUUAUUUUUUAUGUUACACAAUUUCAAAAUGCUGGAAAUUUCGUUGAAACACCACUCACUGCAGAGAAUAUAAGCUUGCAUAUUGAAUUCUAAAAUCCCCCUGUUGUGUGGCAUUGCUAAGAAUGCACGAGGGGAAAUUCUGUUGUGUGAAAUCCCAGGGUUAUGACAAGUUUGACAAGAUGAGCUUGAUUGACCUUACCUCACGUGGUCACACAGGCAAAUCUACCAUCGAGGUUCUCAAAAACAGAUAAGGCAGAUGAGGAAUGGCCCUCUUGAGAAGAACGCUGAUUUGUUGUAACCUGAGUAGAAAAAAAUAAAUCUGGGAGAUUUAAAACAUUGUUUAAUGAGUAAAAUAAUGCGAUGUGAAGAAUGCUGGAGGACAGGGAAAUAUUUGGGGUUUUAUAAUUCCUCUCUAAGCCCCACAGUAAAAGUUACAAAUCAUUAUUGUUUAGUAAAAAUCACAUGCAUUUUAAAAAAUUUCAACUGGGGCAGAAGGAUGGGAAGAAAUAAGUAUAUUCAUUAAAAUGUUUAUUGGUGAGCUGUGGCUGUUUUUCAUGAGCCACUGACAUCUAUUCUAAUACACAGGCAAAGAAAAUCCUCAAAGGCAAUGCUCAAUGAGAUCUUGGCAAUAUUUUUCACUUAGGAAGGAUUAAUUUCUAUGAAGGAAAGCUUUUUAAAAACAUGAAAUAAUGAGCUCUAAAUGUAUGUCCUUGUCGGGCACAUUAGCACAAAUGGCUUGGACUAUUUCCUAGAGGAAAAUUAGAUGCUUGGUGGGAUGUAGGAGUAGAGGGAGUACAUUUUGAUUGGAGUCAAGAUUGGGAAAAAAUGAUUGGGAUUUAGGAUUGGGUGAAGGUGAGCCUGAAUGAUCCUCAGCUAACAAGCCUGGGUCAAAGACUGUGAUCUGUAGAGAGAAAAAACUGCAGAGAGGAAGGAACUAGAGACCAGCUUUGUGUAAACCCUCCUGUCCAGGAUAAAGCUAAUUUCUCUGCCUGCUGAAUUACAGCCUAAAAAAGCAAAUUCAGUUAUUUGCAAGCUAUGUUUCCCAGUCAAACUACUAAAACCCAAUUCUAUGAUUACAAAGAAAGGGAGAAAGACAGAGAUUGACUUUUGGCAUCUAAAAACACAUGUCUCCCACUACUCAAUUGUGACUGCUCAGAGAGAACAACUCUCUGUCAAUGGAAACUGAGGGGUUGUGGGAAAAAUAAUGUGAUGAUGGGCAACAAGAUGGCAAAAAGGAGGAGAGGAGUUCAUAGAGAUAAGAAGUGAUCAGAGAAAAGAAAAACAAGAAUUCAAUAGUUUCCAAAUGUCUUGUCUGUUUCUUCUUUUAUCCUGUCUCCUCUCCACCUACCCUUCCAUGAUUGCUGCAGGUAUACACAUAGAGUACUUUAAUUUGUGAGCAUCUGUUCACCCGAUUUGAAUUCCAUAUUCUCUAGGGGAAAUACUGUGAUGCAAUGAGCAUAAAAUGAGUUGCAGUACCAUUAGGAGCAACAAAGGUGGGGAGGGGGUCUCUUACCUGAGGUGCUGCUUUGAAAAUAUCCUCUAAUACUCUUGGCUUUCCUAAUUAAGUGCUAUCACCUCUGCAGAUGGUAAAAUUAUGUAUGUAUUUUGCUGAAUUCCCUUAGCAAGGACGCUUUCAUUGGGGAAGUUUAAUAAGAAUGAUAUUCUUUGAGGGAAAAAAAAAACCACUGGCUACUUAUGGUAUCACAUUGAGAUGGCUAUCACGGCACGAUUGCAGUGUUGUUUAAAUGUUACAUUGAUUUUUGUCUCUUUUCUGUCCUUCCCAAGUCCCCUGAGGGGUAGGCAAAAAGGAUUUCUGGUAGCCUUUCCCCACUGGAACCUGGAAAUUUAAUUCAAUAAGAUCUCACUGGAAUCUAAACAUUUAAGUCCAAGUAAAUAUCACCUAAAAGUUAUUUUUAAA